rnacentral:lncRNA from 1 species
AACGAAUGCAUCCAUAUUGUUAAAAAAAUUGUACAUUUUACAUAUGAAAUUUUGCAAAAAAAUUUGGUACAUUUGACAUAUAACAAAGUGGUACAUUUAUAAAGAAAGAAUGAGUACAUUAUAACUAAAUUAGGGUACAAGUAAUUUAAAAAAUAUGAGUACAAAUGAAAUUUUAAAAAUAUAUGGGCAGAAAAAGAAAUUAAUACAUGGGUACAAAUUCAAACUGAAAAGAAAAUGAGUACAAAGUUGAAAAAAAGGGUUACAAAUUAAAAUUGGAUACAAACUAAAAUUAGAAAUAUAUGAUACAAAUUUUAGCCAUAAAUACAAACAUACUUAAUGUAAUGUUUUUAAGACUAAAUGAAUAUUUUGGAAAUUUAAUUUUAUUAUAUUUCCGUAUCAUUUUUUUUAUUUUUUAAAUUUAAAAUUGUUGAUUGAAGUCUAGCAUUUAAAACAAUCUGCCUUGUUCUCUUUUUCAUUUCAACAUUGCUCUAAUUAACAACAUUCAAGGGAUUUAAAUCCAAGAAUUAAUGUAAUUCAAAAUUCUAAUAAAUAUGAAAUUCAGUCAAUCAUCACAUCUAAAAAAAUUAUGAAAUUGUAAAAAUCCCAUUAAUUUAUGGGAUUAUGGAUUUACAAAUCUGAAGGAUUAUGAGAAAUGUAUACAAUAAAAAUCGUCCACAUACUUCUGCAAAAUUUAUAUAUCCCAUCAAAUUUAUCAUGGCUACAUACAAAACAAUGUACCCAUAAGCAUGACCAAAAAAAAAAAAGUACCAAUGAACAUAAAAAAAUUUACGUACCGAAAACACAUAAUACCAAUGGGUACAUACACUGAAUUUACAAGAAAUUUAUAAUUAACAAUGCACCCAAAUAAAAAUAAAAUAUAAGAGCAAAAAACUCUGGGUACAUGUUAAAUCUCAUGGAAACGAAUGAACCACAUUGUUUUGUAAGUAUGCAUAUGGGUACAUAAAAUGCAACAACCAACAUAAAAUUUUCUCCAAAAAAAAAAAACAUUGUACCCGUAUCAAUAUGUAUAACGAAAUUGUAGUCACAAAACACAUUGUACCAAUAUAUAUUUGAGUGAAAUGACAUGUAAAAUAAAAUUGUACCCAUGAAAUAUAAAAGUGUAGCCACCCAUACAUUUAACAAUCAUGAUUAAUACUCAAUAAUAAAGGAAAAUAAAAAAUAAAAAGAAGAAAGACAGUUGACUGCAUAUAUAAUGGUCUAGGGAUGCUGCUGCUAUGGAGAGUCUGGGGGUUUGGCGUCUGGUUGAUGAAGAAGCACAAUGGAUUGAGUUUGGGGUACCGUAGGAUGUGUAUAAGGGAUGAAAGAAUGGAGGAGUUUCAAUGGUUGUUUAUUUAUCUUAAAUUUAGCAAGGGAUGAGAUUUCAAUUAUCAACUAAAAAUCCGGACAAAGCAAUUAAUAUUAAUUACAAAAAAAUUAGGCAAUACUUUAAUUAAGAAUUAACCAAAUAUAGCAAAGUUUUGACAUGUAAAUUUUUAAAUUCUAAAAUAAUGAUGUGGACAAAGCAAAGGACUUUGAUAAAAAAUAAGAAAACAAUAAAGUUUUAAUCAAUGCUAUAUACAAAUUAGGGAUGUGAACUUAAUUUCUUUUAAUUUAAUAUUAUUUUCGAAACUUGGUAGUGAAAUGGAAUAAAACUGGAGUUUGAUGGUUGAUUUAAAAAUCACCUUAAGCAUCGAGGUGUAAAAUGUGGUUCGAUUUGAAAAUCACUUUAAACCUUGAAGUGUAAUAUGUGGUUAAUUAGCUCUUCAGUUUAUCAACAAUAUUUUAUGCAUUGGGGAGAGAUCAAUGAAGAGCAAAUCACAUAGCCGAGCGAAUUCUCGAAACGUUUAAAUUUGGUUAGCUCUUAAAGUUUACCAGUUUCCACCAUAGAUUCGAGAAAUAACUCAGCUGUUCAAUCAGAAAAAAUGGAAAUCGGAUAAUCAGACAACUACCUUUGUUAUUUUUGGUGUUUGGCUCUGAAAGAGUGAAUGACUCACGAAAGAAUGGUAUAAAUCUCUCAUUUUUUUAUUUUAUCUUUUUCUUUGUGUAAGACCUUUUUCUUGCUGUAUUUACUCGACUAUCCUCCACGAUAUCUAUACGAUCAUGAACAAGAUAAAGGUAUGCAAUUUAAUAGUCUUGUGGGCAAAGAUACAUUUCUUCCAUGGCGACAGAUUGUUAGUGUUUAUGGUUAUGUUUCUGAGCUUCAGUGAAGGAUUUAUGGGUUUUGGAUUUCUGGGAAGGUUGCAGAGAAUUGCAGAGAGAACGUAGAAGAUGCUGAUGUGUUGAUGAUGGAUUGUUCUCUCACACAAGAAGUGUGAUAUUACCGUUAGAGGAGAGGAAAGGGAGAUCCUUCUCUCUCUUACAUCAAAACAAAUUCUAGAAUCUAUCACUUAAAGAAAGGAACUCCGCCUGUGUAAGUUUAUCUUACAUUG